GUUACGAUGGCCGAGUGGUUAAGGCGUUGGACUUUUAAUCCAAUGGGAUCUUCCCGCGCAGGUUCGAACCCUGCUCGUGACG
rnacentral:tRNA from 1 species